rnacentral:rRNA from 1 species
GACGAACGCUGGCGGCGUGCCUAAUACAUGCAAGUCGAGCGAAUCAAAAGGUGCUUGCACCUUUUGAUUAGCGGCGGACGGGUGAGUAACACGUGGGCAACCUGCCUAUAAGACUGGGAUAACUUCGGGAAACCGGAGCUAAUACCGGAUAAUCCUUUUCCUCUCAUGAGGAAAAGCUGAAAGACGGUGCAAGCUGUCACUUAUAGAUGGGCCCGCGGCGCAUUAGCUAGUUGGUGAGGUAACGGCUCACCAAGGCGACGAUGCGUAGCCGACCUGAGAGGGUGAUCGGCCACACUGGGACUGAGACACGGCCCAGACUCCUACGGGAGGCAGCAGUAGGGAAUCUUCCGCAAUGGACGAAAGUCUGACGGAGCAACGCCGCGUGAGCGAUGAAGGCCUUCGGGUCGUAAAGCUCUGUUGUUAGGGAAGAACAAGUAUCGGAGUAACUGCCGG